UAGUCAUAUGCUUGUCUCAGAGAUUAAGCCAUGCAUGUCUAAGUAUAAGCGAUCUUAUACAGCGAAACUGCGAAUGGCUCAUUAAAUCAGUUAUAGUCUACUUGAUCGUAUCUUCUUACAUGGAUAACCGUAGUAAAUCUAGAGCUAAUACAUGCUAAAAAUCCCGGACGCGGCAACGCGGAAGGGACGAGUUUAUUAGAUUAAAAACCGACACCUCUCCGCGAGGGGAGGUAGCACAGGUGAUUCACAGUAACCGAUCGGAUCGUCGGCCCCGCCGACGACGAUGCAUACGAGUUUCUGCCCUAUCAACUUUAGAUGGUAGAGUAUCGGUCUACCAUGGUCGUAACGGGUGACGGGGGAUUAGGGUUCGAUUCCGGAGAGGGAGCCUGAGAAACGGCUACCACUUCCAAGGAAGGCAGCAGGCGCGCAAAUUACCCAAUCCCGACACGGGGAGGUAGUGACAAGAAAUACCAUUGUAAUGUCUCCUCGAGAGGCUUACGAUUGGAAUGAGUACAAUUUAAAUCCCUUAACGAGUAACGAUU
rnacentral:rRNA from 1 species